rnacentral:rRNA from 1 species
CCCGUCACAUCACGAAAGUGGAUUGUACUAGAAGUCUGCGCGCCAACCCGCAAGGAGGCAGCGGCCCAAGGUAUGAUUCAUGAUUGGGGUG